UUCCAGAUAUAUCCAUGUUUGCUUCUCCGCUAUUCAUUAUUGUGAGUUCAUUAGAGAGCUUAAGCCCUUUACUUUUAUUUAAGUACUUAUCGUGUGUGCUGCUAAGCCUUUGUUGAAAAAUAACUUUUAUUGCAGAAUUUGAUGAUUAGAACAAAGAGCGUAGAAUACAUGCCAUUUUAUCUCUCGCUGGCGACCUUUUUGAUUAGUCUUUCUUUCUUUGCAUACGAAAUGUUCAAGCAGGAUCCAUUUAUUUCUGUAAGUGUCAACUUAACUAUCCCUUAUUGCAUACUGUACUUCGGAGUUAUUGUGUAAUUAUUAGUUGCUUCUUGCCAGUCAAAUGUAAAAGAAGCUAAUAUCGCAUUUAGGCCAUGUUCGACACCCAUUAUUUGAAAAACUAAGGAGUUUUGAAUAGUAUUUUUGGAGAAUAUGUGGUCCAAAAGUAAGGAACUUUAUUAGUUUGUGUGUAGAAUAUUUUAUUGUGUGAAUGUGUGGUGGAGAAUAAUACUGUAGCAAACAAUUUAAAAUUUUAAAGGUCGUCAGACAAGGGCUUAAUGUUAUGAACAAUGGCCAUGUGUUGCUACAGGUUUUCACCAUAAUGGGGAAGACAAAUUCAAGUCUUCCUCACUAUUAUAUGCGGAC
rnacentral:lncRNA from 1 species